rnacentral:misc_RNA from 1 species
UCUCCGUUGGUGAACCAGCGGAGGGAUCAUUAGCGAGUUGUAAAACUCCCAAACCAUUGCGAACGUACCUGCCGUUGCCUCGCCGCCAGCGUCCCCGCCAGGGAGCGUCGGCGGCGGCGGCUGACCAAACUCUUGUAUUUACAGGCCUCUCUGAGUACACUUAUAACAAGUCAAAACUUUCAACAACGGAUCUCUUGGUUCUG